GCCACGGCUAACUACGUGCCAGCAGCCGCGGUAAUACGUAGGUGGCAAGCGUUGUCCGGAUUUCCUCUCGGCGUAAAGCGAGCGCAGGCGGUUUCUUAAGUCUGAUGUGAAAGCCCCCGGCUCAACCGGGGAGGGUCAUUGGAAACUGGGAGACUUGAGUGCAGAAGAGGAGAGUGGAAUUCCAUGUGUAGCGGUGAAAUGCGUAGAUAUAUGGAGGAACACCAGUGGCGAAGGCGGCUCUCUGGUCUGUAACUGACGCUGAGGCUCGAAAGCGUGGGGAGCAAACAGGAUUAGAUACUCUUUUUUGUUUCACGCCGUAAACGAUGAGUGCUAAGUGUUGGAGGGUUUCCGCCCUUCAGUGCUGCAGCUAACGCAUUAAGCACUCCGCCUGGGGAGUACGACCGCAAGGUUGAAACUCAAA
rnacentral:rRNA from 1 species